GAUGAACACAGCCGUCCUGUGAGACAGACACUCUACUGCACACACACCUGGGCCCAGAAAUCUGUGUGUUUGUCAUCCAAAAUGUGCGAAUGUCACACUUACACCCACACAAGCACGCGCAAACACAAUCUUGAGUCGCUUAUCAAUCCAAACGUUGCUCUCAAUGUUUCCUCAGUCGCGUUCCCAUUUACAUUUCCUUCCAAACGUUAGCAAACAGAUGGCAGCCAAUAGUUUAAAAAUAUAAUUAGUCGUGAACAAAUGUGCUACUUCGCUGGGGAAAAGUCACAUGUGCACAUCCCAAAUGAGGAUUUCUCCGCGGUUUUAGUUUGAAACGAGACUAAACGCGCUUUCCGUGGGAUCGAUUUGGAAAAUCAGUGCUGCGGAUUAAAGCCCGAAGAGUAAAAAACGAGGACGAGACGGACGCGAGUUCUGAACCGUGCAUCAAUAUUCGACCCUUGAUGUCUUGUAUGUUAAUCAGGGGCAGUGGUGGCUUGGUGGUUAAAGGCUCUGGGUGACUGCUCAGAAGGUCAGGAGUUCAAACCCCAGCACUGCCAAGCUACCACUGCUGGGCCCUUGAGAAAGGCCCUUAACCCUCAAUCGCUCAGUCGUAUAAAUGAAUAUAAAUUGUUGUAGUGCGGUUGUAUUAAGCCCUCGCUUCAAAAUCGCAACUUUCAUGCUACUGCAAAACCGCCGUCGAUGCCAUCAACGCUCGAUCGCUAACGAACCAAGCUGAGUUUUCUGUGCUAACUCAGCACAACUGUCUGUUAUAGCAUUUACACCAGCUCUACUACUUCUACGCUAGCUUUCUCGUUAAUAUGAUACUAAACGGGGGGCAGUGGUAGCUUAGCGGUUAAGGUUCUGGGUUACUGAGCGGAAGGUCGUGGGUUCAAGCCACAGGCUGCUGGGCCCUUAAGCAAGGCCUUUACCCCUCUCUGCUCCAGGGGCGCCAUAUCAUGGUUCACCCUGCGCUCUGACUCCAACCUCCUAGCAAGAAUUUCACUGUGCUGUGACCAAUAAAGACUCAUUCUCAUUAUCAAACAUGGCUGUAAAACGGUGAGUGAGAAAGAACCUGGUCGUUAUCACUCGUGUUUGGAGCUUAAGUUCAGUUUAAUCAGGCGACCACAAUGCGUGCUACAUAAUUUUAGCUAGCUUUCAAACUUGACUCCUGGAAGCUUGUGAACGUAUGACGCUACACAAUAAGAAUAAUGACAUAAUUCUAGCUCGUAAUGUCUGCUAACAGAUGUUAACUCGUUUUAGCUAAGCUGGUUUGGUUAGCUAGUUUACUGGUAUACCAGUGGUUGUGGUAUUCAACCUGCUAUGUUAUGCUAGUCAGUGUCCUUUUGAGGUUUGUGAUUGGCUGAUUGGAUUUAAACUAAACAUAAGUGCUGAUCUUGUUGACCCAGGGAUCAUUCAACCAAAUCAGGAGUUGUGUGUGUGUGUGUGUGUGUGUGUGUGUGUGUGUGUGUGGUCAAAGGCUUUUAGUAGAACAUCAUAUAUCGAACCUCGAGAGAGCUUUCAGUACUUUUGCGUCUUCUGUCUUGCUAUAUUCCCUUUUACUCCCCCUUUCUACGCUCUUAAUUAAUUUCUCCUGUGCCUUCAUUUCUUGUUUUCCAUCCCGUCUCCUCUUCAUCCCAUUCUUCUAGGACGCUUUUAGAUUUGCAUAACCUCUUAGCUGGUCCCUGCGUGCUGAUGGACCGGAGCUCAUGUUUAUUAAAUGUUUGCUGAUGAUAGCAGACAUGUCUUUCUCUCUCUCUCUCUCUCUCUCUCUCUCUCUCUCUCUCACACACACACACACAUACACGCACUCGCAAUCUCUCCUUUUCCAUUACUUUCUCUACCGUGAUAUUAGGGGCUGUGUCUGUGUGCCAUCAUUCUUUCACGCUGCUGUGCUGUGCUGAAUGCAGCUCCCGGUCCCUGUUGCUCUGAGGGUCCCGCUCUGAAUGGAAAUGAGGGGACUCUAUAAUGAGUUCCACUCAUCCCGGGUUCCUGACCCUGCUGGCAACUGCGCGUUAAGAAGGGAUAGAAAGGAAAAAGAAAAGGACAGGGGAAGGCAAGAGGCUACAAGGCCAGGGUAAAAAAAAAAAAUCGUGUUUUUUUUCCCCUCCUCCCGCGUUUUACCUUCUAUCUCGGGAAGACGGGAUUGCUGAGUAGCUUCCAUGUUCCAUGAUCGUUCUGUUGCUGUAGACCUUCGCUCGAUUCUCCGACAUUCAUUACAGCCACCACAUAUCAAAUCCAGUAGUAUGCCGGUUCAGCUUUGUCUUUCAAACUUGCUUUACUAUAUUGAGGUCAUAUUGGACGAAAAUUCCUUCAGGAACCUCCGAGGAACCCUCCUGAAGAAGAACUCCACAAUUGCCGGACGAGUGAGUUCCUGUUCCGCAUUUCCACCACGGAUCGUGACCACCGUAUAUGCAAAAAUAGCAAGUGAUCCGAAAUGUGAGAUGGUUACAACAAAGUGAACAUGAAAGACUCGCUUGCUUUUGUCCAAUCAGCAACGUUCAGAGCAGAAAGCUCCACCCCUAUAGUUCCUGUUCUGUACAAAAGUACUGACUUGAAAGCAAGAAGUAAAAAUAUUCCAGGAACUACAACGCAAGAGGAAAAUUGCUGACCCAGGAACAGGAAGUAAAACUGGUCUAGGAACUACAGUACAACCCAGGAAGUACUGACCCAGGAGCAGGAAAUAAAACUGAUCAAGGAACUACAGUACAACCCAGGAAGUACUGACCCAGGAGCAGGAAGUAAAACUGGUCUAGGAACUACAGAACAACCAGGAAGUACUGACCCAGGAGCAGGAAGUAAAACUGAUCUAGGAACUACAAUACAACCCAGGAAGUACUGACCCAGGAGCAGGAAGUAAAACUGGUCUAGGAACUACAGUACAACCAGGAAGUACUGACCCAGGAGCAGGAAGUAAAACUGAUCUAGGAACUACAGUACAACCCAGGAAGUACUGACCCAGGAGCAGGAAGUAAAACUGGUCUAGGAACUACAGUACAACCAGGAAGUACUGACCCAGGAGCAAGAAGUAAAACUGAUCUAGGAACUACAGUACAACCCAGGAAGUACUGACCCAGGAGCAGGAAGUAAAACUGAUCUAGGAACUACAGUACAACCCAGGAAGUACUAACCCAGGAGCAGGAAGUAAAACUGAUCGAGGAACUACAGUACAACCCAGGAAGUACUGACCCAGGAGCAGGAAGUAAAACUGGUCUAGGAACUACAGUACAAACCCAGGAAGUACUGACCCAGGAGCAGGAAGUAAAACUGAUCGAGGAACUACAGUACAACCCAGGAAGUACUGACCCAGGAGCAGGAAGUAAAACUGGUCUAGGAACUACAGUACAACCCAGGAAGUACUGACCCAGGAGCAGGAAGUAAAACUGAUCAAGGAACUAAAGUACAACCCAGGAAGUACUAACCCAGGAGCAGGAAGUAAAACUGGUCUAGGAACUACAGUACAACCAGGAAGUACUGACCCAGGAGCAGGAAGUAAAACUGAUCUAGGAACUACAGUACAACCCAGGAAGUACUAACCCAGGAGCAGGAAGUAAAACUGGUCUAGGAACUACAGUACAACCCAGGAAGUACUAACCCAGGAGCAGGAAGUAAAACUGAUCGAGGAACUACAGUACAACCCAGGAAGUACUGACCCAGGAGCAGGAAGUAAAACUGAUCUAGGAACUAUAGUACAACCCAGGAAGUACUGACCCAGGAGCAGGAAGUAAAACUGAUCUAGGAACUAUAGUACAACCCAGGAAGUACUGACCCAGGAGCAGGAAGUAAAACUGAUCUAGGAACUAUAGUACAACCCAGGAAGUACUGACCCAGGAGCAGGAAGUAAAACUGAUCGAGGAACUACAGUACAACCAGGAAGUACUGACCCAGGAGCAGGAAGUAAAACUGAUCUAGGAACUACAGUACAACCAGGAAGUACUGACCCAGGAGCAGGAAGUAAAACUGAUCUAGGAACUACAGUACAACCAGGAAGUACUGACCCAGGAGCAGGAAGUAAAACUGAUCUAGGAACUACAGUACAACCCAGGAAGUACUGACCCAGGAGCAGGAAGUAAAACUGGUCUAGGAACUACAGUACAACCCAGGAAGGAAAGUCCAGACGUAAGAGCAGGAAGUAGAAAGGUUCCAGGAAAUACAACCCAAGACGAAAACGACGUCCUGUAUUGAAUAAACAUUAAUCAAAUUUUCCAUUUGACACAAUAGGAGGAGUUCUUUCUUAUGAGUUCUCAUUAGAACCAUUUUUUAAAUAAUUGUAUUUUCUCUCAGCGUACUGUAGGCAGCACCGAUAAAGCGCAACAUUUGUGUGAUCUGUUUGUUUUUUACAACAGAGGCGAGUCGAAAAAACGUGGGAGUGUUUGUGUAUACGUGCCAUUAAUAUCAAACGGCAAAACCUGGCUCGAAGAAGAAGAAAGCUCAAUGUUCCUCACAUACACCCCUGGACUUGAACCAGUUCCUGCCCCUUUUCCCUUUUCACCCCACAUUCCACCUUUCCAACAGAGGCGCCAGUUUGUGUGUGAGUGUGUGAGUAUGAGAGUGUGUGUGUCCAUAAAAUACCUCUCCGGGGCAUAAAGCCGAGGAAUGUGGCCAAUGGAAGGACGAAGAGUGAAACGUAUGAAAAAUGCAUUGUCGAUUGUCAGUGAUUUUGCAAACAUAUGUGCGAGGCAGAGAGAGGUCUGUAAACUGCCUUGUAGGCCACGAUAUCAAAGAUAAACCAGGGAUUACAUAAAACACAACAUAAAAAAGCUUUAAUAACAUUACGUACUCAAGACUAAUUAUUCGUCGGAAUGUUAGAGCGUUAGUAUCAUUGCUAAUGUUAGGGGUUUAGAUAUGCUGCGAAAUAUAAAACACGAUGAGGUGUGCUGUUAAAGGAAAAUAAUCAGUGACCAGGUGGUGUGACGCGGAC
ensembl:lncRNA